AAGGAUCAUUAUUGAAUAAAUCUGACGUGGUUGCAGCUGACUCUCCGGAGUACGUGCUCGCCUAGUCACCUUUAUCUUUCCACCUGUGCACACACUGUAGUCCUGGAUACCUCUCGUCGAAAGGCGGAUGCAGGGUUUGCUGUGACUUCGCAAGAAGGCCGGCUCACUCUGAAUUUCCAGGUCUAUGAUCUUACACACCCCAAACUGAAUGUUACAGAAUGUUAUCAUCAGGCUUCGUGCCUAUAAAUUUAUACAACUUUCAGCAACGGAUCUCUUGGCUCUC
rnacentral:misc_RNA from 1 species